UUUAUACCAGUUCACAAAUAUUGAAAUUGAAUUUAAAGAUAUUAAGGAUAGAGAGAAUGCACACAUAUGUUUAUACUGGUUCACUCUAAACUCAGAGCUACAUUCAAUCUUCUCAUAAACCACUGAGGAAUUCCACUAAGCAAUCAAACCUAGAUCACUUACAACACAAUCAAAGAAGUGACCUUGAUCCUCUCAAGACACACACUUCUCUUGGUCAACACAACAACACUAAGAAUGCUGAUAUUGAUCCCCUCAAGAACACACAACACUUCUCAGCAACCACACAAAGAUUCUUGUUUAACAGAUACAAGGAUUACACUUGUUACA
rnacentral:lncRNA from 1 species